rnacentral:rRNA from 29 species
GGUUUCCGUAGGUGAACCUGCGGAAGGAUCAUUGUCGA